rnacentral:rRNA from 1 species
AUGCCGGCGACGGCGGUGAAAAGAGGUCGCGGCGGUUCAAGCAUCUACCUCGUGUUGGAUGACUGGACCAAGGGGUACAGCAUCCACAAGAUCCAAGCCGACAGCUUCGACUCUGACUCUGACUCUGGCUCUGAUGACCAGCACAGCGGCGCUGCCCGGCACCUCCCGGAGCCUCCGACCCUGCGGUUAGAGUGCCCGGUUGGCACUGUACCCCAUCCCGGCAUGUCGUUCUCUGCCUUGGGCACCAAGAUCUUCACCUUCAUGAACCAGCGAUGCAGCCUCAUCUACGACACCAAGACGGCUGCAAUGACGAUUGGCGCCCAUGCCCCUGCUGACAUGGUCUGUGGCUUCGGCAUCACCAUGGUCGUUGAUGAGAUGCUCCAUGCAUUAUCUUACCACUUCCGCGUGAAACAACACUCCUUUGGGUUCAUGUCAUGGCAACAACCAACCGAGGGCUGGUCCUGGAAGACUCUGCCGCCACCACCGCCAACGUUCCACCGUCGAGUCAACUCCUAUGCACUACACCCGGAUGGAUGCACCAUCUUUAUGUCCACAGCUAACUUCAUGUUGCAUGGGCACUACUCAUUCAACACCAAGGAUUCUGUGUGGAGAUGGCAUGGGGAGUGGGCCUUGCCAUUCAGCGGCCAAGCACACUUUGACAGGGAGCUCAACGCCUGGGUUGGCCUUCAUCGGGAUGGCUACAUCUGUUGCCAAGUUGCCUCCCCCAGCUGCCACAGCACGACUCCAACGUUGCAGACAACCAAGGAGAAGUUGUUCUGCAAGGACCGGAAGCCACACAUGGGAGUCUCUCUCAGCUAUGUGGGCAUGAGCAAGUUCUGCCUCGUCCAACGCGUGGAACGGGAGGGACUGGAGGAGGCACUGGCUCGGGGAGACUAUGCCGGCUGUGUGCUCCAUAUCACCUUAUUUGGCCUCAAGUUCAAUCACAAGGGAGAGCUGCAGAUCACAGAUCACCGCUCCACGCGCUCCUUCAUAGUGUCUAGGCAUAAAGAUCACUUUAUGCCUGUAGCAUUUUGGAUGUAG